GAUUUUAAUUUAAAGUCUAACCUGCCCACUGAAUUUAUUUAAAUGGCCGCGGUAUAUUGACUGUGCAAAGGUAGCAUAAUCAUUUGUCUUUUAAUUGAAGGCGUAGAAUGAAUGGUUGAAUGAAAUAUUAACUGUCUCAUUUUAAUAAAUUUAAAAAUUUUUCUUUUUAGUCAAAAGACUAAAAUUAAUUUAAAAGACGAGAAGACCCUAUAGAUCUUUAUAAUAUUAUAUUAUUAAUAAAUAUAGAAUUUUAAUAUAUUAAUAUUAUUAUAUUAUUAUGUUGGGGUGAUAGGAAAAUUAAUUUAACUUUUUUUAAAAUUUAAAACAUUAAUGUAUGAAUUAUUGAUCCAAUUUUAUUGAUUAAAAAAUUUAAGUUACCUUAGGGAUAACAGCGUAAUUUUUUUAGAGAGUUCAUAUCGAUAAAAGAGAUUGCGACCUCGAUGUUGAAUUAAAGGUUAUUUCUAGAUGUAGAAGUUUAGAGUUUAGGUCUGUUCGACCUUUAAAUCUUUCAUGAUCUGAGUUCAAACCGGC
rnacentral:rRNA from 1 species